ACCUAGGCGCCUUAGGGCGGGGCGCCGCGACGGGUGCGGGAGGCAGCUAAUCAGGGCGGGGCUUGCAGACCGGGUUGAAGUCCAGGGCCCAGGAACCCUAGGGAAACCGAAAGCAGCCUCUGGGUUGGGCCUGCGGUGGGGCGGGGCUAGAGGUGUGGCCGCGCCCUAAACCUGGAGCAAGGCCGGUACCUAAAGGCUCCUGGGAGCCAAAAGAGCAAGUGAGGGAACUAGCUUUGGUUGGGUUCGGUGGUACACAAAGCACAAGGCCUGGGUUGGGGUUAGGAGGAAAUGAGACUUACGGCGGGUCGGGGCUGAAGAUGUGGCAGCGCCCUGAACCUGGAGAAAGGCUGGUACGUAAACGCCUGCGUCGCAGUCUGGAGUCAGCUGGAGUGUCCCGGCAGAUGGAAUCCCUUUGGUCAAGGAGAGGGAGAGAGAGGUAAGGGUCUGGUCUUACUUUUUAAGCAGGAAGAAGACUACAAACCACCAUCUACCAUCUGCCAGGUAAUUUUAAACCAGUCCACUUAAUCCCCAUCAGAUUUUCCAGAUGCUUUGAAUGCAGAGCUAAGGUUGAGAACCACUGAUUUAGACAAAUAUACUAUGGGGGAAGGGGAAGAAGGUUCCACCCGCAGAGAGCAACCAGCUAGAGCCAUUUGGGGCUUAUCACAAAAGACUUCUUGUCAGGGAAAUUCACCUAUUGAGAGACAUUUUGGUUGUUUCCAAUUCUGGGCCAUUGAAAAGAAUGCUAAUAAGCAAAGCCCCUCUUCUGCUAUGAAACUAACAGUGGGCAGAUAUUCCCUCUCUGGCCCUUGGGUAACUGAAAGGAGGCUUAUGACCAAAGCACAGCCAGUGAGAUGCUCCUGCUCAGGAUGUUGAUUUUGGAGAAGUGACACAAGGUAUAUGAUCAGAGUUAAGGGUUCAGUAGGCCAGUAAUGAGUGCCAGUGGUGUUGGUUCCAGUAGCACAAUGGUAAGUAUCCAGUUUAGAAGGCUCGGAUGGCAGCAUCCUAACCCACUAUCCCUAGCGAGAUGCUGGCUGUGCCUCACCAACCCUCAUCCCUGCCUCAUCCUUGUUCUCCAGCUUCCCAUUAAAACUGUGAGCUUCCUAAUACCUUUCCAAUAAAUUAAAUUUUGUCAUAAAUAUACCAUAAUCCAUUUCUAUUGUUUGUUUGUUUCUUUCUUUUUUUUUUUCUUUUUUUUUUGAGGCAGAGUCUUGCUCUGUCACCCAGGCUGGAGUGCAAUGGCACAAUCUCGGCUCAUGGCAGCCUCCACUUCCCAGGUUCAAGCAAUUCUCCUGCCUCAGCCUCCCGACUAGCUGGAAUUACAGGUGCAUGCCACCAUGCCCAGCUAAUUUUUGUAUUUUUAGUAGAGAUGGGGUUUUGCCAUGUUGGCCAGGAUGGUCUCGAACUCCAGACCUCAAGUGAUCCGGCUGCCUUGGCCUCUCAAAGUGCUAAGAUUACAGGCGUGAGACACCGCACCCAACGAUUUCUAUUAUUUCUAUCCAAGAACAUUGAUGAGUAUAUGAGGACAAAAAUACUAAUCAAAAAGUCACAUACAAAUGUAUGAUUUGAAAUGGCAAUAAGUGACUUGAAGAAAAGGUACAUGGGUGAAAUUAAUCUGGUUUGGAAGGUCAAAGUAUAAAGAAUGCUUCCCUUAGGAAAUGACACUAAAACUGAGACAGACUCAAAGUUAAUGAGGUAAAACAUGUGGAGGGGUGGAGCGGUGGGAGGGUGAUGGGUAGUAACAAGGGGAAAGAAGAGUGGGAAAUGCAGCGCCAGUAGCCUGAGAUCAAAAUGGCUUUCUUAGCUCUGGUUGGUUUGGAGGGUAAGAAACUAAAGAGGAGGUGAUUGAAAUGCAGGUGACACAUCUCAAUGGAAUAUUAUGAUCCUUGUGGAGACUGCAUAGUACCAUGGAGCAAGUAUUAUGGUUGAAGAUAGUAGACCUGUAGUUCAUACACCAAAGAAUUAAGGAAUCACGCAUGCCUAUUGGAACAAGAGGGUAGGUAGGUAGAAUACCUGGCCUUGUUUUUCCCCCUGCGGCGGACAUCAGGCGUUUGUGCUAUAUACUGCCUCCUCCCUUAGAGAACUGCUGCUUCCCCAAAUCUUGAUCUGGUGGGAUUGCCAACCACAGCUCUCCACUCCCCUAGCCACAAUGAGGGCAGAGGAUCCAGGCCUGACCAGUCAGACCGCAUAUUCCAAUCAGCACAGGGCAAUCCAUGUGAGCACAUGGCUCAGACUCAGGCAGGCAGGCUCUGCUCUGAUUUUGUUCAUUUCAGGCUGGAGAAGAGAUCUUUCCUCAACUCCACAAAUUACCCCAGUAUUCUUCCUGGGAUGGAUCCUUGCCCACCCAUGAAUCCUUUUUUGUUUUGCUUUUUGAUUUAUUAGGGCUACUUUCUGUAUACAUAUAAGGAAAAAUCUUUUUACUUUUUAACUGUUGUUUUAUGACCAUAGAAUACAUACAUAUUGUAUAAGAUUCAAACAAUAAGAAAACACAUAAAGAAGACCAUUUCAGAGUUUCUAUCCCUGUCACAUAUUUCUAGUUUGACUACAUGAGGUAGUCUAGAACAAUGUGAUCUAUGAUUUCUGAGAGGGACUAGAAGAUUCGAGAAGAUUUGCUGAGGUUUGAUAAGGUCCAAUAUAUGACUAAUUUGGUAAAUGCUUCCUGAGCCUGUAAAGAUAUAUUCUCUGAAGUUCCAGAGUGCAAUAUUUAUCUGUUAGGCAAAGUAUAUCAAUUACAUUUUUGGCCUUUGUGCUGGGUCUAUUUGGAGUAUAGAGAUAAUAGUAUCCCUAUAUCAUAAGGUUAUCCUAAGGACUAAAUAUGUUAAUACAUGAAAAUAACUUAUAAUAGAGCCUACCACACAGUAAAUAUCCCCCAAAUGUUAAUUGUUUUCAUCAUCAUCGUCAUUUUUAUUCUCUUUAGAUCCAGAUAUGCAUACUUAGAAGCUGACAUUUUGGCCAGGUACGGUGGCUUACGCCUGUAAUCCCAGCACUUUGGGAGGCUGAGGCAGGUGGAUCAUGAGGUCGGGAGAUCGAGACCAUCCUGGCUAACAUGGUGAAACCCUGUUUCUACUAAAAAUACAAAAAAAUUAGCCGGGUGCGGUGGUGGGUGCCUGUGGUCCCAGCUACUCGGGAGGCUGAGGCAGGAGAAUCGCUUGAACCUGGGAGGCAGAGGUUGCAGUGAGCGGAGAUCGCACCACUGCACUCCAGCUAGGCAACAGAGUGAGAUUCCAUCUCAAAAAAAAAAAAAAAAAAAAGCUGACAUUUUAUCUGUCAAGCACCAAAGGAAGUGUGUUUGCACUCCUCAAUCUAUUUUAUUAAUUUCAUCCUACAUUUGCAGAUCAUGCUAUAUAUAAUCUGAAGUUGGUGGUAAUUAUAUGAUCAUUGUAGAUAAUCUAGUCAAUUAAAGAAUUCUAAUGCAUUUGACAUUCAAUUUUGAUAUUAAUAUUAUGAUGAUUUCUUACCUUUGACUGUAAUUCCCUGACAUUCUUUCCCAUUCUUUCAUAUUCAGCAGAAUCUAUUGCUUUGGUAUGUCCCUUAAAGUAGUAAAAUUUCACAAAGACUCUUAUCAUCUUCAAAAACUAAAUCAUGCUACUCAUCCCCUCAGCAUAAUUAGCACAUUUUUAUUCUUCUUCCCCAUACUCCCUUUUAUCUAAUUUUCAUGGAAUGACCUAGAAUUGUGGGGCUAUCAUGUUAAUCAAAUUAUUUUUUAUAUUACAUACAUUUCCAGGUAUUGGUAACAUAUUGAUAGCCAUAACACAGUAACUUAGCAUUAAAUUUGUAUAUAAUAGGACCCACUGCCUCACAACCAGCUCACAGAUUUCUUACACAAUUUUCCUGAUCAGUUAGUUACUUUGAUUCAUUUUGUGCAUUCCUGAAAAACACCUGUAUGGUUUUCCAGUAAAUCCAAGUAUAUCCAUGCUAUUGCACAUCAAUUUAGAUAGACAUGCAGUUUGUGCUGUAGUAAGUGGCCUAAUUCUCCUACCUUACAAAUGUUUUUCAAUGAAAAACAUUCUGAAGUUGUUUUUUAGUUUUUCUCUUUUUGUUCCCCUGAACAUAGUGAGUACUGCCCACUUCUGGUGCAGUAUCUUUUGAGUUUAGGAAACUUUUCUUCUUGUUUCCUCUAAAAUGUUGUUCCUGUUACAUGUGUUCUGUUAAUAUUUUUCUUCCAUCACUUAACAAGACUCUGGAUUCUCAUUGUCUGAUCUCUACAUCUACGAUAUUUUCUUUAGCCAUUUUCCUUGUUUUGCACUUUUUCUCUGGGUUCUAGGGGAUUUUCUUAAGCCUGGUCCCCACAUCAGAGGUAGAUUUUCCUGGGGCUGAUGAUGCUCUUGCUGUUUCUAGGGUAACGUUAGUUCUCUAACAGAGAGAUCCCUCUCCUUAAAUCCUUUCUUGGUGUUGCCAGCUGUUCCUGCAUGUCCUAUCUUUUCUUUCACCUCAUUCCAGAGUCUGUGCUCUCCUUAAAUGCCCUGAGCAAAUACUGCUUCUACUCCUUGGAAUGGAUCUUCCGGAGCAUGGUCUUUAUCACGUGCAUCUGGUGCUCACAUACUCUUCCAUUUUGUAGUAUUUCUGGAACAGACCUAUUAAUAUUACUUGGUGUUUACUUAAUCAGAGGCAAUUAUUCUGCUCUUUUGCUCUCAAACCAUUGGGGUCAUUCACCUGUUCUCCCCUCCCUGUUUACCUGGCUUUUCCCUACAUCCACAGCCUGGAAUUACAGGAUGUUGUAAUAACAGGAUGCUGGAUAACGGGAUGUUGUAAACCCAUUGGUUCUGUUUUUCAGAUACCUGAAGAAGGUGAGAGGACUGGGACUGUGGGUGAGAGUCCUGUUUGGGAUUUGUUUAUCCAGGAGCUUUUUAUACUUGUUGAAAACCCCACCCAGGGGUUGUCAUCCUGAAUGAAACGAGGGUAUCCUCUUCCACCAUAUCAGCUGAGAAUGCCCAUGCGUCCGGGUAACUGGGGAAGGAGGAAGUCACUGUUGCCUCAAAUGUUCCAGCCGAGAAGUAGCAGCUUUGCCAUAUGCUGGGUGACUUUGUCUCAGGACAGUGUGGGGCCAAAGUGUUUAUUCUGCACCAGCAGCUAGCAGACUCAAGGGAAAAGUGCAAUGCUGAGAAGUGGGAACAUCUUGCUAAUUACAAUGAGAAAGGCAGAAAUAUGUGUUUGCGGGGAGGCAGCCGGGCCACUCACCUUCCAAGAAACAAAAUGUGCUAUGAAGCAGGAA